rnacentral:tRNA from 1 species
AGGGGUGUCGUUCAGUGGUAGGACCUGGGUCUCCAAAACCCAUGACGAAGUUUCGAUUACUUCCGCCCCUG